ensembl:lncRNA
CGCGGAAGGGAGCUCCAGAGGCCGGCAGCACUGGCGGCGAUAUCCCCGGUGCCGCUGAGGCCUGGGCAGGCCUGCUCCUGCUGAAGAUUGGAUCUGCAGUGUUUUGGGAAGCGGCCUGGCGCCGCAAUGGGGGCGUUGGUAUGGUUGCUCGUUCGGGUCGACCAGCAUCUCCCCGCGCCCAUCCAUAUGUGUGAUUUUGGAGCGGGCAGAGAAAAGGUCUUGCACGCCGAAGCGCUGUUGGCUCGGCAGCCAGGCUCUUGGGUCACUGUCUGGGGCGUUCGUUUUCUUGCCGCGAUAACCCCGCUCCAGGCUGCGGUGUCUGGCCAGCCCGCGUGAGUCCUGCUCGGAGAGCUCGUUGGCGGGCGCGCCGGGGCCCCGUCUCCGGGCCUGAACGCGUCCUGCUCUUGCUUGAGUUGAACGGGCAGGCUUGCGUGGCAAGGCCGGGCCGUGUCUUUAGGAGCUGGAGAGCGGUCGGGACGUUUUCUCUGGUCUUGUGUACCGCCUGGGCUAUAGCUGGCGGCUGAGGCUGACCGUGCCCCGCGGGAUGUUCUGGGCCACAUUGUUCGGUUUUCCCGUUUUGGUUGUGAGUUGCCGUGUCUCCGGCGGCUACCGCGCUGGGUUCCCCGGCCGUCUCUGGAUUCCCUCCCACCUCCCCGGGAGUGAGGACGGAACGAACGCACGGAGCAAGGCGGCUCUCGCCGCCUGGGGCUCAAGUCCGCAGCAGAGUCGGGAGGCGGGGAAGCUGCUCCCCGACGCCCACUGUCGUUUCUCCGGGCUCUGCGAUCGUCCGAGGCCGGGCUGCGUCUUCACGGGGCCCGUCUGUGGUCCCUUCUGCUCCCUUUGCGGCCUUGGAUCGCACACUAAUGGCUUCCCUCACCGCGGGUGAUAGUAGGGAACGUGGCCCAAUGGCCGGCUCCAGUCCUGCCUGGGCUUUGAGGUCAGAAGCGCCGAACAGAUGUGACACAGAAAGCGUCCAGGGCCGUGCGUUGGAGGAUGCUGGGGGCGCGGUCUUUAGUUAGAAGAGCCUCUGAACAGGGGAGGAUGGGGCGGAGAGAAAUGCAGCCUCCGGCGGACUCGGAGGGAACGGGUGCGGAGUGGUCAUGCUGUGCCUUCCCCCUGCGAUUCGGAUUUGUCCUGGUGGCGUUUAUGCUGUUAAGUUGCAGCUGGGUCAUCGCCGUCGACCAGAUGGCCAGACAACUUUGGCGCUUUAUCAAAAAUUUGCUAUAAUACAGGUUUGGGAAGUGAGCAGGCAAUGGCAACCCACUCCAAUAUUCUUGCCUGGAAAUUCCCAGGGGCGGAGGAGCCUAGUAGGCUGCAGUACACGGGAUCGCACAGAGUCGGACAGGACUGACUUCACUUUCACUUUUCACUUUCAUGCAUUGAAGAAAAUAGCAACCCAUCCCACUGUUCUUGCCGGGAGAAUCCCAGGGAGGGGGGAGCCUGGUGGGCUGCCAUCUGCUGGGUCGCACAGAGUCGGACACGACUGAAGCGACGUAGGAGCAGCAGCAGGUUUUAGUAGAUGACAGUAAAAUCCAUAAUGAAAAUUACUAUUAUCGUUGUUACUGGACGUUACUGUAAUUAUUACAGUUGUCUGUAAUUAUAAAGUUUAUCUACAGAACAGCUGCUCAGUUGAAGAUGACCCACGAGGAGUUUCAGUAUGUCUAAAUAUGGGAGAAAACUACAACCCACGAGGCCUUUCCCCCUGCCCCCUGGCAACCAUUGUGGAAAUCCACAUCCCCAAACUGCCGCAUUAGGCGUCAAGGUCCCGUCUGGGUCAGUGACUUUCCUCCCAUGUGUUUUUCAUUUAGAAACAAAUCGGUGGGAACAUGUUCCUCUAAGCAAUCCCAGGGCCGCCUCUCUUCCCCGCAGCCUGCCUCCAGCUUCCCUACGUCGCAAGCUCUGAGCAGGACAUGCCUUCCUGGUUUGCUACCACUCCUCUGCGUACCCCUAGCCUCAGCCUAAUGCAAGUGGUGCUGGCUGACCCCUUGCAACGCAAAUAGUAGCGAGGAAAGGCACGUCCUGGUCUGUAUUUUAAGAUCUUUAUGAACAUGAUAAUGGAAGCGUAGUUGAGUGAGGAACAUGGGUAACAGGGUCAGCGAUUUCUUUACUAAAGCUGUUCAAGGAGGGGAGAGAGGCUCAAGAAGCAAGUGAUAGACAAAUAUAUACAUACAGUCAAUAAUUAUGGCUAAUUUGCAUUGUAUGGCAGAAACCAACACAAAAUGGUAAAACAAUUUUCCACCAAUUAAAAUUUUUAAAGGAACAAUACUAAAGCUAUUCCAAUGCCUUUUGUAUGCAAAGAGUAUCCACGUUACUCUGCAUUUUUUCCGUAGAAUUCUAAAACUGGCAUGACGAGGUUUCUUGACAUCUUCAAAACAUUGCUUUCUAGAAACAUCCAUUUAUGUAUGUGUACUGCUCACUAGCCUUCAUUUAAUUACCAUACUUUGAAAAAAAUUUAAUGUGGAAAGAAUUGUUUUAUUUUUUGCUUUGAGACCAAUAUUUUGUGUUUUUAUUCAUUACGGAAUCUCACCUCCGUGUCCUCCGAUGGACAGUCGAUAGACUCAAAGGGAUCAUUCAGCAGCUGUGGAACUUUUUCUCUGAGUAGCUCCCUCCUUUCUGAUGCCCUGCCACACAGAUCAUCGCCUCGGUGGCCUCCCAGCUCACCCGUGUUCUCAAUCCAGAUUCUGCCAGAAUGUUCAUGGGCUCCUCUGCCUGCAGUUGCACCGUGAAGACCGCCUGAAAGCAGAGAGCGGAGUCGUCAGGUUGGUGUGUGUGCUCACCUUCGCGGGAGGAACCCAGCCCUGGAACCCCCACACUGCCUGCUGUUCAGGGUCUGAGAACACUUUCCUGUUUUGUUCAGCUUUCUAAUUCCCAAUGGUAGGUGAGCAAGUAGACCCUGUUCCUCUUACCGUUGCAGGAAGGGGAACCCUCUGCAGGGCCCUAGAGUGGGCUCACACGUGCUGACAAAGCAAGAGACUUGGCUGGAGGGGCGCCCGGGAGGACAGCAGCAGGGUGAGGAAGCCCAGGGCCCCUUUCCACCACGUGACCUGCGGUCUCAGGUUUUAUGGUGAUGGGGUUGGUUUCCAGGCUGUCUCUGGCCAAGCAUUCUGACUCAGGGUUCGUUUCAUGCAUUUUGUUCAGCUUUCUAAUUACCAGUUACUACUGCUGAGGAAGUCCAGACACUCUUUGUAUUUAUUCGGAAGCAGAAAUCACAUUUUAGGAGAAAAUUAUACUUUUGAUCAAUAAUUUAAAAUCACCUAACCACCCGUGUGUGAAGGUGUCUUCUGUUUCAUAGUCUUUGUUUUGCUCAUGAACAUGUUAAAAUAAAAUGAAAUAUCAGGAGACACACUUAGAUGGCUUUCCUCACCCCCUAGAAGAACUUUAUGCCAAUAAAUUGGGGGUAAGGUCUUAGGAGUCUCUGAAUUUGAGUCCUUCAGAUACUAUCGAGUCACUAAGGCAGUUUUUGCUCCUGUUUUCAUAAGAUCUGUUGGUGUAGUAAGUCACACUAAAGUUUCCCACAGCUUAUACUGUGGAGAAUUUUUUUUUUUUCCUGAAUCCCAGUGUCCAUCUUCUUGCAUAUCAGUGUUCAUCCCCAUGUGGAUGGGCAAAAAGCAUUAUAAUACUACAUCAUCCACCCAGUGGCCUGCUGUGCAGGAAAGUAUGUCCUGAGGGAGGGCAGUUCCCACGGCAUUGUCAAAUAAAUAAAAGCAACAUGUAACAAAACACCGUGCUUAAUACACACUAUCUGUGUUUUUAAUUAGGGCAUGGAGGAGAAAUAUACUUUCAUGUUUGCUUACCAGGAACUCUAGAAGGACCCGUAAGAAACAAACUACUACCUGUGGAGGGCAGAUGGCCCUGGACACACAGGCUCAACGAUAGGAGGCACAAAUUAAGGCUUUUCCCGCGCUGCCCAGGCAGCGGUCCAUUCGGCACUGUCUGCAUUCUUGCCAUAACUUGAAGUGAAUCUUCUACGCUCUCCUGGGUCCUUGCUGUCCGGCAAACGAAGGCCGGCGUCAUCACGUUCCUGCAGCAGGAGCCCACUUAGGCGGCACCGACC